UACGUAGGGUGCGAGCGUUGUCCGGAAUUAUUGGGCGUAAAGGGCUCGUAGGCGGUUUGUCGCGUCGGGAGUGAAAACCCAGGGCUUAACCCUGGGCUGGCUUCCGAUACGGGCAGACUAGAGGUAUGCAGGGGAGAACGGAAUUCCUGGUGUAGCGGUGAAAUGCGCAGAUAUCAGGAGGAACACCGGUGGCGAAGGCGGUUCUCUGGGCAUUCCCUGACGCUGAGGAGCGAAAGUGUGGGGAGCGAACAGG
rnacentral:rRNA from 1 species